rnacentral:misc_RNA from 1 species
CCGAAUUGUCAACACGAGUUGUUGCUGGCCCUCAAAUGGGGACAUGUGCACGCUCUGUUUACACAUCCACUCACACCUGUGCACCCUCCAUAGUUCUGCAGCCUGGGGGGGCUUCUGUCUCCCUGCCGUAGUUCUAUGCAUUUACACACACACUGUAGUAAAGUCCCAUGGAAUGCAUACCGCGUUUAACGCAAUAUAAUA